rnacentral:rRNA from 1 species
CCUACGGAUGGCAGCAGUGGGGAUUAUUGCACAAUGGGGGAAACCCUGAUGCAGCGACGCCGCGUGAGUGAAGAAGUAUUUCGGUACGUAAAGCUCUAUCAGCAGGGAAGAAAAUGACGGUACCUUACUAAGUAGUCCCGACUAACUACGUGCCAGCAGCCGCGGUAAUACGUAGGGGGCACGCGUUAUCCGGAUUUACUGGGUGUAAGGGGAGCGUAGACGGCAGCGAAAGCCUGGAGGAAAAUCCCAUGGCUUAACCGUGGAACUGCUUUGGAUACUGUGCAGCUAGAGUGCAGGUGAGGUAAGAGGAAUGCGUGGUGUAGCGGUGAAAUGCGUAGAUAUUAGGAGGAACACCAGUUGCGAAGGCGGCUCACGGGACUGUAAUUGACGUUGAGGCACGAAAGCGUGGGGAGCAAACAGGAUUAGAUACCCUGGUAGUC